GCCAUAGAGUAGGAAUAUAAUCAUGUUGUGCUGAUAUACUUAAAAAGACAAAAGAUAUCCAGGUCAGAAAUUCUGAAAUGUUUUAAAUAAGCUCUUUUUUUCUCUCUUGUAAUAACUUGAGGCCCUUCUCUACCAUCUUAGACUUACUUUUCCUAUAGCUUCCUUGGCUUAUUUCACUUCUACAUCUACUUCUAUGUUUUAUUCUCCCCCUACAGACAAAUUAUUUAUGUUAUUUCAUCUGCAUGCACCUGUCCAGCCUUUGCACCACUGGCACCAGAGAAUGGCCGUAGGCUAUUCCAACAAUCUGUUCCCUGCCUCCAGACUGCAGAUUUUGACAAGGUUUUUCUGCACAACACUUAACCCUGUGUCCUGAAAUUCACUGCAGUGCUGUAUCCCACGGCCUGGCAUCACAAGCUGUCCAAGGGAGACACAACCCUGGCCCAGAGGAUGGGGGGGGUUCCCUGGCCCUUGGCUCCAUCUCACUGCAGAGAGGGAGAGUGGUCCCCCCACCAGCUCUCCAAAUGACGUCACAUACAUGAGGGCAAGCCACUUGAACCAUUGGCUGUGUUCCCAAAUGCUGGGAGAGCUUUUUAUGUGGCUGUGUAAGAGGAGAAUACUUUUCAAGUGAGGAGAAGAGAGUAGGGAGAGUUCAGAGGAAAGUGAGCAGAGACACAGAGAAGAGAGAAAAAGGAAAAAUGAAUUUUUCUGGGGUUCCUUUCACAGGAAUGUUUCCUUGAGAAACAAAGACCGAAUUACAAAAGGUUUUUAUUUAGUGUGAGGCUACCAAGCUGCAGCUCUACUACUAAAAUUACCACACAGAGAUAUUGACUGCUAAUCAGAUACUUUCACAAUUACAUCUAGAAAAAAUAAAUACUUAUGUAAUUGUAUGGGAAAGACAGUUCUAAAUUUGUAAGUUAAGUUUGACUUACAGACAUACUUAAAAAAGAAGAAACAAGAAACCAUUGUGAGAACAAUUUAACACAAUUGGGG